CCUACCAUACAGUGGGGGAUAACCAGAAGAAAUUCUGGCUAAUACCGCAUACGAAGCACAAAUUUGAAGGUAGUGCUUGAAAGGAUGCUUCGGCAUUCACUGUUUGAUGGGCCUGCGUAGCAUUAGUUUGAUGGUGGGGUAACGGCCUACCAUGACUACGAUGCUUAGCUGGUCUGAGAGGAUGAUCAGCCACACUGGAACUGAGACACGGUCCAG
rnacentral:rRNA from 1 species